GAUGAACGCUGGCGGCGUGCCUAAUACAUGCAAGUCGAGCGAACAGACGAGGAGCUUGCUCCUCUGACGUUAGCGGCGGACGGGUGAGUAACACGUGGAUAACCUACCUAUAAGACUGGGAUAACUUCGGGAAACCGGAGCUAAUACCGGAUAAUAUAUUGAACCGCAUGGUUCAAUAGUGAAAGACGGUUUUGCUGUCACUUAUAGAUGGAUCCGCGCCGCAUUAGCUAGUUGGUAAGGUAACGGCUUACCAAGGCGACGAUGCGUAGCCGACCUGAGAGGGUGAGCGGCCACACUGGAACGGGGACACGGUCCAGACUCCUACGGGAGGCAGCAGUAGGGAAUCUUCCGCAAUGGGCGAAAGCCUGACGGAGCAACGCCGCGUGAGUGAUGAAGGUCUUCGGAUCGUAAAACUCUGUUAUUAGGGAAGAACAAAUGUGUAAGUAACUAUGCACGUCUUGACGGUACCUAAUCAGAAAGCCACGGCUAACUACGUG
rnacentral:rRNA from 1 species